CGUUAAAAUAAAAUAAGAUUAUUAGAAAAUAGCUAGCAUAGCCACGCUUAGAAAAUUUAGUAGGAAUUUGUGUCUCAUGAGCUCUCUCUCCUGCGCAAUAGAAGGACGAGUACUGUUACCUUCACACACGGCUGGCCUGCAAUAUCAUUCUCUCCACACGUAGUGUAUACUUUGAAAGUGAGAGAGAGAGAGAGAGAGAGAGAGAGAGAGACAGAGAGAGAGAUAGAGAGAGAGAGGGGUAGGAUGUUGAGACCUCAAAGUUUUGUCAGAGAUAAUUCUAGUUCAUCAUAGAUGUCCUUUUUGGCUCUAGUUCUGGGAUGUAGAUAAAUGCUUGCCUUGGAAACUUAUUGGAUUAAUGAUGUUUAUAAUAUAUUUUGAUUAUUUGCCUGCAUGCAAAAUAAUCAUGACCGAUAGAACAGUCUUGUAAGAGAGAAUUGAGCUUUUUGAUUAAAAAAAAAUGCAUACCCCAUCUCAUAAAUUUGGGCACAUUUAAAGUUAACCAAAAGUGACUUACUUUGGUGGACACAUGCCUUUGCCUCAACGGUCCAACAUGCCAAUAUUUCAAUAGGAUACGUGUCUACAAAUGAUAAUUUCUCUGAUAUGAAUCUAUUUAAUGAGGUGUGUAUUGCAUGCACCACAAAGAAGGCAUGGAGUCAUUGCUCUGUGUGUUUCCACUAGGGCCCCUUCUUAAGAUUUCUGCUCACCUUCUUCAAAGAAGAGAGCUGUCAUGUGGUCAAGGGCUCCACAUACCUAAUAACUUUGAUUUGACUCAGAGGCCAAAUUCUUGAGCAGAAACAGUUUUAGCCUGUCCUGAAAUUGUUAGUUUUAUUUUCUAAAAGCAAAAUUAACUGAGCUCCACAUGGAUCUGUUCGACCCAAUCUAUAGAUCUCCAUCUACAUCUUCUGCAAACCUGAAAGAAAAUAUGUAGCAGAAACAGUAGGGAAAUACAAAGCCUUUGUCUAAUGGUUUGAAUGUUAAAAUUGACUAAUGCAUGCACACGUGCCUUUUUUUUAUCGGUUAACAAGAUUUUUAUUAGUCAAAAGAAUAGGUAAAGAGCUCAGGUACACGGGACAUAUACAAGAGCAUCGCCUAUGUGUGAUGUUCUAGUGACACAUGCACACACCUGGUUUCGAGAGAAUUUCCAGCUUCACAGGGUAUGUGUGCCUUGAUUAUGUACAACUAUAGAUGAGUAUGGAUCAAUUUUCAAGUUGUUCUUGUGUUGAGAUAGUGAAUUGAUUUCAGUAAUGUGGAUUGCUGUGCAACUCUAGGUAUGGCAUAUUUCAUAAAAUCCUUUUGUUAAGAAAUGUUGAUAAAUAUGAGCACCACCACACUCCCUUCAGAAACAAGGAAGAAACGACACUAUAGAACAUACUUUUUUCUAAUUAUCUUAAGAACUCCAUUAUUUAGAAAAUAAUUCCUUAAGUUUUACUCACAGCUUUUCAGUAGAAACUGUUGCAUUCACAGUAACUGUUUUUAUGAGAAAGUUGAUAAAAAU